rnacentral:lncRNA from 11 species
GAACCCGAAAGAUAUUGCAGAGGUUCUGGAACAGUUUAGGACUUAUUUUUUACCUCGGAAGAACAUUGUGUUUGAAAGGUUUUGUUUCUGGAACCAUAUGCAGAGUCCUGGAGUUACAAAUGUGCAAUUUAUUGCUGAGCUAAAACUGAAAGCAGCCAGCUGUGAAUUUGGAAUGGCAGUUAAUGAGAUGAUAAGAGAUAAAGUUGUUUUUAGUUUACAGCAAGAGAAACUGAAACAAAAGUUGUUACAAGAAGCCGAUCUUACACUUGAGAAGGCCGUGGAGAUAUGCCGGGUUGAUGAGACAACGAGAGCUCAACUGAGAACCAUGGCAAUAACAUCGGAAGAAGGAGUGUUUGAAUUACAAGACAGCCAUGGAGAAAACAAAGAGAUUAUAACUCAAGCUCUGGGAACCAGGGAGUCAAGACACAGAGACAAUUGGAAAAAUCAGAAUAAGUGUGGUUAUUGUGGUACAGCUCAUGAACCUCGGAGAUGUCCAGCAUUUGGAAAGACCUGCAACAAGUGUGGCAAGAAAAAUCAUUAUGCCAGGUUAUGCAGGUCAAGGGUGACCAAUCCUGUGAAUAUACAAGCCAGACAACACAUUCAUGAGUUGAAUGUAAGUAAUUUAAUGAUAGGAAAGCUGGAUGAAGAAAUGAAGGAUACACAGAUAACAAACAAGGCAGGAUGGAUUCCUAUUAACGUGCGUCAAGAUCUACAAAGAGCUCAGGAAAGACAGAAACAUUUUUAUGAUCGAACAGCAAGACCCCUCAAACCACUAAGAGAGGGAGAUUUGGUAUGGAUGCAAUCCAAUAAUUGCAAAGAAAGAUGGCUUCCUGCCGUUGUGAUAGAAAAAUGUAAACAGCCUCGGUCAUAUCUAAUAAAGAAUCAGGACGGUCGCGUAUAUCGGCGUAAUAGGCGUCAAUUAAAACAACGGAACCAAACACCCGAAACUACAAUUCAAGGAAAUACAACAUAUAAUGGUUCUAAAGGGAUGUUUGUGAACAAAAGUGACACACAUGUAAUAGCAGAUAGAAAGCCAACGUAUGUGACAUCGCAUGGCAGGCCUGUGUUUGAACCUGUAAGGUACACUCCUUAGAAGGAUGGUGCUGAAGACCAUCCUCAACGGUGGGCUAAGUACUAGUGACCUCUGGCCCCAUAGAAGACAUAUUUUCUUACCUGUCUAGUGAUGUAAUGAAGCUGCCAAGUUUUAAUGAGAGACUUUUGUAAUUUUGAUGUAUGAUUUUUUUAACACUUUUAUAAAAUGUAUUUUGUUUUGUCUUGUCAGAUGUGUAGUUAUUAUGUAUGAAGGGGAGAUGUGGUAUACUGUGCCUUUAAGCCACACUCUCUGGUUGUUACAGCUGUAAUGUAAGAACUACUGAUUGCUGGGAUAUAUGGCUUUUGUGCACCCAAAGCCUCAGUAGCCUUCCUAAUGUUUGGAAUAAACUCUUUCCUAC